CAUAAAUAAACAGCACCGACUCCCCUGUGUGAAUGCUAUUGCGUUUUUGUCAUAUCAACGGAAGAGAAAAAUGAAAGUCGCACAUGGAAGGUGCAGGACCAGGGGAAGUGUGCACUUUGAAUGCAGAACAAGUAUUUCUGGCACCCACAAAACAGAACCUAACAGGGGCAGACUACAUAGUCUGGGUGCUCAACACGUAAAACAGAGGAAACUUGGUCUUAUUCAGAUAUUUUCCCCAAAUCUCCAAGGUUGCAUCAAUCUCCUUCGUUAUGCAACUUGCUUAAGCUGUCAGUGAUACUGCACCUCUCCUGCUACCUGCAGCUGCUCAGCCUCAACAAGGAUCUGUAGGGAACAGAGAACAGAGGACUGCGAUAGAGCAUCAUCUGCUGUCUCAGCUGGGCAGUGCUGCAGGAUCCCCUUGAACACCUGAUGCCAUUCAGAUGUGCAUACCACGCUGCCUGGAUGGAUAGGGUCUUAAAUGCUGGGCAAGCUGCAAAAGGGUGAUCUACUGUAACAUCUACCAAGCCUGCAAGCAAAGAAGAGCAUUGUCCUGAGCUUUCAUUUUGCAGCUGAUAAUGUCAGAUGAACCAGCAAUGCCUGUGUCCACUCCUGGGAAAUACAUCACAGGCCACAGGAGCAGCCCAGGAAGAGUGAUGGAACACAAAAGAGCUUAUGGCAUGAGUUAUGAAUUCUCCUGCUGGCCUUUUCUUGGCAGUUCCAGUCUCCUGAACUGGCAGUCUUUCUCCAUGAAUGAAAUCCAAGAAGCUGUUUUCUCGUGGACUCCUUCCUUCAGAGAACCCUAUAAAGAAGAAUGACACAGGUGUUUCUUGCCACUGACCCAUUACUUAGAGGCUUUCAGACAAUAAUUUCACUGAAUAUACAAAAGCACCCCUCCAUAUAACCCUCUCUUGCCAUUUUUUCUCCUGCACAGCACUGAAGUGAAGGUACAGAGAAUUUUCUGGAAGAAGUCAGGGUGUCCUUUCAGAAGAAUUCUCUGCUAACAUCAAUGCAUGAGAGGAAGACUAUUGGUUAAAUGAUGAUUGUAAACAAAUUGUUUCCCUGAGGAUGAAUAAAGGGGGUACAAAAUUUAUGACCA
rnacentral:lncRNA from 1 species